UACGUAGGGUGCGAGCGUUGUCCGGAAUUACUGGGCGUAAAGAGCUCGUAGGUGGUUUGUCGCGUUGUUCGUGAAAACUCACAGCUUAACUGUGGGCGUGCGGGCGAUACGGGCAGACUGGAGUACUGCAGGGGAGACUGGAAUUCCUGGUGUAGCGGUGGAAUGCGCAGAUAUCAGGAGGAACACCGAUGGCGAAGGCAGGUCUCUGGGCCGAUACUGACGCUGAGACGCGAAAGCGUGGGGAGCGAACAGG
rnacentral:rRNA from 1 species